GAGGCUCAGCCAUUGCACUCCGGCUGUGCUGACCCCUGCGAAUUUCCAAAAUGUGGAAAUCUCGAUUGCAUAAUUUCUGGUAGUGGGGGACUGCAUUUGCGCUCUCCCCUG
rnacentral:snRNA from 8 species